GAGGGCACAGCUCAGUGGUAGAGCACAUGCUUAGAAUGCACGAAGUCCUGGGUUCAAUCCCCAGCACCUCUA
rnacentral:tRNA from 1 species